rnacentral:rRNA from 1 species
UACGUAGGGUGCAAGCGUUGUCCGGAAUUAUUGGGCGUAAAGAGCUCGUAGGCGGCUUGUCACGUCGGGUGUGAAAGCCCGGGGCUUAACCCCGGGUCUGCAUUCGAUACGGGCUAGCUAGAGUGUGGUAGGGGAGAUCGGAAUUCCUGGUGUAGCGGUGAAAUGCGCAGAUAUCAGGAAGAACACCCGUGGCGAAGGCGGCUCUCUGGGACGGUACUGACGCUGAGACGCGAAAGCGUGGGGAGCGAACAGG